rnacentral:lncRNA from 1 species
CCGACCGUUCACACCACUGCUUCCCAUAUUACCCAUCUUUAUAAAAAUUCAAUCUUUGUUACCCCCAAAAUAAAGAAUCAAUUUUUAACAAAAUUUGAUCACACCAUUAAUCAAGAUUAACACAAAUUUGGACACCUUUUUGCUUUUUUUGUCAAUUUAAUAAACCCCCAGAUGAAAAUUCAACCAAAAUUGUGGAUUUCUUUUUUCUAGGGAAUGGGAUAUUGAGGAAAACAGAAGAAGAGAAACAAUAAGAUUAUUAAGGUAGAUAUAUAUGUAAUAAUAAAGAUAAUUAAUUGAGUAAGUGGAAGAGGAAUCUUAUGAUGGGUAGGGUAAGAGAGGGUAUUAUGGAAUUGCGUAAAGUUCCACCAUCAACAGUAUCAAGGAUUAGAAGGAAAAUGGAACAGCUUUCUCUUUUUCUGCAUACAUAUCCUCUCCUUUUGUCAUUUCUUUUCGUUUCUUUCUUUUUAUGUUCUUUUUUUCUUUUUUGUCAUUUUCUUUUUGUGGUGAGAAUUUGGCAAAGCACUAUGUAAUGCUCUGAUUUGAUUAGG